rnacentral:lncRNA from 1 species
AUCAGUUGAACAAGCCCAACAUUAAAUCAAUAUUCUCCUCCUUUCACCAAACAAGUUCUAUGCCCAGAUUGAUUUGUAGGGAUAUCAGCAUUGCUACAUUCUCUCAUUCACACUGUAGAAAUGUAUCUUCUAAUCUCAUGCGAAAUGUUAAAUUCUUCUUGGGAACACAGUUACUUUGUGUAUCUGCUACAGUCACAAAAUUAAAAGUGUUUGAGAAUCUGAUAGGACAAAUUCAUGUGAUGUACAUUGUAGGUUAGUGAAGCAGAUUGAAUAAAAUAUGUUAUAUGAGUUUUGUAGUUAUUUGACUAACAUAUUUCUUAUGUAACCUGUGCUUCAAGAUUGACUGAAAGAAAUUGUGUCUAAAAAAAGAAUAUAUACAACAAACCCCUAGAGAAGUGAAAUCUUCCUUUCUUUCUGUCUCUUUAAGCUUUGUUGAUUAAAACAUGGCUGCCUUUUCUGA